rnacentral:rRNA from 1 species
AUUGAACGCUGGCGGCAUGCCUUACACAUGCAAGUCGAACGGCAGCACGGGCUUCGGUCUGGUGGCGAGUGGCGAACGGGUGAGUAAUGUAUCGGAACGUACCAUUGAGUGGGGGAUAACGUAGCGAAAGUUACGCUAAUACCGCAUAUUCUCUCCGGAGGAAAGCAGGGGACCGCAAGGCCUUGCGCUCUUUGAGCGGCCGAUAUCAGAUUAGCUAGUUGGUGGGGUAAAAGCUCACCAAGGCGACGAUCUGUAGCGGGUCUGAGAGGAUGAUCCGCCACACUGGAACUGAGACACGGUCCAGACUCCUACGGGAGGCAGCAGUGGGGAAUUUUGGACAAUGGGGGCAACCCUGAUCCAGCCAUGCCGCGUGAGUGAAGAAGGCCUUCGGGUUGUAAAGCUCUUUCGGCCGGGAAAAAAUCGCAUGGAUUAAUACUCUGUGUGGAUGAUGGUACCGGAAUAAGAAGCACCGGCUAACUACGUGCCAGCCGCCGCUGUAAGAC